CGGUUUCCUAUAACAGAGAAAGCGCUGGCGAGUAGUGUGCUCACGUCAGUAAACCCGCACCCCAUGCCUCACGACCCCGACUCUGCAGCCCUCCCCUGCCUGGUCCUCUGUGCCGCCUAGCUUACGGUCUAUGCUUAAGAUACGUGAACUGUUACUCACGGUUUCCCCGGGCGACAGUCGUACUGUUGGAAGCACGUUGGCGGACACAGGUUGCUGCGGUCAUCCACUCGCGUUGCUGCUGGUUCUGCCCGAAUCAGCCCGGCGUCUCCCUGCAGGCCUCUAUAGCGACUGCUCUCAGGGUCGCCCGCUGCUGCGUCGUCUCGGCUGGCGCGCCGGUUUCGUCCAACCUCCAUCUCCUCCGCCUGCUUCCCAACAGUCACGCUCCUUACCGGCCUACAUCCGUUGCUUCACUUAAAAAGUAGUCCUUUCCAAUCCGUUGCCAGCUUCCACACCUGUUGCUCAUUUGCUCAUUAUGUCAUCAGUGGAGGUGUGCGGUUUAAGAUCAGUUCAGCCAUUGGAGAAAGUUUAUUGCCAUCCAACGCUUAAUAUCAUUUAGACAGUUGGAAAUGGACUGUAAGGACUUUGAGUCACCUGGCUUCAGAGGAUCUAAAAACAAACACCAGGUGGGAGGAAUGGCGUCUGCUGAGACGGAGACUUGAUUUGUGAGACAGAGAUUGGACCUGUGUCCUCUCAAGAAAGAAAACACAGCAUCUUGUGAUGCCCACUCUGCAGCGUGAACA